ensembl:snRNA U6 U6 spliceosomal RNA
GUACUUGCUUCAGUGGUAGUACAUAUACUAAAAUUGGAACAAUUCAAAGAAGAUUAGCAUGG